rnacentral:lncRNA from 1 species
UACAGCUUGUCCUUGAUCUGUUCUUCUUACCCUUCUAUUUUAGACCACAUUGUGCACAUUAUAGAGCUGAUAGGCAGAAUUCCAAGACGCUUUUCCCUCAGUGGGAAAUAUUCACAAGACUUCUUCAGUCACAGAGGUAGUAUUGUUAUGUAGGACCCAGGGAUACUUCAGGAAGCAGAGCAUUCACACCAAGAUUGUUUUUAGUUAUCACUGAAUCCACAAAAAUUUGACUUUGUGAAUUCUCCAUUAGAUGGAUAGAGUCUUCCUCUUCCCAUUUAGGAUAGAAAGUAAGCCUGAUAGGCUUUACAAAGAGAUGUGCAUGCUGCUCCUUCUGCUGUUUUCUAGAGCUGCAUUUGUUACUCUUGUUACGGAUCUUUUUUUUCCCCCCUCUUGAAAUGUUUGAAAUAUACAGAUCACAUUGCAUUGAUCAUAGAACUUCUGGGGAAGGUGCCUCGCAAGCUCAUUGUGGCAGGAAAAUAUUCCAAGGAAUUUUUCACCAAAAAAGGUGACCUGAAACAUAUCACGAAGCUGAAACCUUGGGGCCUUUUUGAGGUUCUAGUGGAGAA